CCCGGCGCAUGCGCGUGUGGUUGGAAGCCGCCAUGCCGGAGGGGAAGGCCGCGUUCCGGGAGGUGCUGCCCAAACAAGGGCAGCUGUCGGUGGAGGACGCGGCAGGCAUGGUGCUGUGCAAGCCCAAGGUGCUGCCCCUCAAGUCGGUGUCGCUGGAGAAGCUGGAGCAGCUGCAGCGCGCGGCGAUGGAGGCGGCGCGGCCGCCCGAGGGGACUCCGGGCGCUCAGCCGCAGCCCUAGGCGGGUGCCAGUUACAUAGAAAAAAUGACCGGGUUGGUACGUGGUGGCUGGAACAUCUAAAACCGACCAGUGGAACAGGUUUGUCUGUGUGGAUCACUCAAACUCCUGAAUCUUCCAUCUCAGUACUGUGCUGGUCCCUGCCAAGCAAAUCAGCAAAACUAAGAGGAGAGGCAGGUCUUCAUCUGCUGCAGAGCAGGCAGGCGUGCUGCCUGGGAUUCCAACAGAGGCUUACUUUCCUCAAGUUUGUAUCCACCCUGCUCUUUGUUCCUCCAUCUUCCCUAGUCUCCAGUACCAACCUGUAACGCUCAGGUUCUAAGAUCCUGCUUAAAAAAGCAGUGCCGGCACCCACCUGUAAUAAAACAAGUACCUUGAAGGACAGAGGUCUCUCAGUGGUUUGGAGAUUAUUCCAGCCUGAAAGCAUUCCUCUACAAACCGCUCAAGCACAGAAUAGGAGUGUGGCACGUCCAGGUUAAUAUCUGGUAUUUCACAGUAAACUCGUUCAUAGCCCUGCAGUUUAAGAAUGCAAAUCAUGAUUUGGUUAUUCUAUAAUUACAAUUUUUUAAACAUCUUUUUGCACUCAAACAUUGAUUUUUUUAAUGUAAUUUUAUGUAUUCUUUACGCAGUUUCAACAAACUUUUUUGUUCUGCUUUUUUGAAAGCAGAACACCUGCAAAUUAGUGGCAAAGCAGGGUAUAAUACCAGCCAAUUCCAAGCAGCUGAUGUCACAGAACUACAUAUCUAUAUGAAAACACUAGCUGAAUGUUUCGGCUUCUUAAAAAGACAGAAAUCCAGACAGUACAGAAUGCAUACGAUAGCCUAGCUGCUAGGAGCACAGGGAAGAAGGAUUAAUUUCUCUGCCCUGUAGAUGGAGUGCAAGCCAAUAAGUUCAUGCAGUAAAGGAAACACUGGCAACAAGGAUGAGUCCAUCACUUCCUGCCAGCAGUGCAGCUGGGUAGAGUCUGACAAAUCUUUGUGUGGUACCUAGCUUGCCCCAGCACAGAGCAGCUUUCCUACAAUCACAGAUGGAUGCAAUGCAGUGGUUGAUUCCAACUGCACGAACUAUUAGCUUCUAAAUAACAUUCUAAUUAGCAUUUGCAAUUUGGUGGAUCAUGUCGUACAGUUCUCAAAUUGUGAAGUACUGCCACAUAAAACUGGUUUUAAAAAUGUGAAGCUACAUUACAGCAUAUGAAAUGAUUACUUUUAAUAAUUUAAACACAUAACAUCAGUUGAAAAAUCUUUGAGUGAAGAUUCAAAUAUUCCGUAACCCACCACUGUAAAGAGAACUACUGCCCAGAACUCGUAUGUACUUGCCAGAGUACACGAAAAGUAUGGAAAAGGAAAAUGACACUAUUUGUUUGGGAUACCCAAUGGCCAUGGAAGAGAAAAAAAAUUGUGUCAGGAAUAAAUUACAAAUAGUAUUUAAAAGAAAAUAAAAGCUACAGAAACUUGAAGAUCUUACCCAGCAUUCUUUAAAUGCCAUACUUACUCUUUUCAUUUGGUCCAUAGUAAUGACAGAAGACCUCGAGAGAGAUUUCAGCAAAUCCAGCAUCAUUUUAAAGGUCUUUUCUCCAGUUGACUCCAAAACCAUCACGAUUGCCUAAAACAAAUCACGCAAAGUUUUUAACUAAAAAGAAAACCGUGGUUCAAGUACAUGUUGUUGUGUAAGCAUAUCAAGUCCAAAAAAGAGUGAAGGCAUUGUGUGUUUUCUGGAGAGACAAGUCCAUUUGUCACAAGCAGUCCCAAUUCCAGGAUAUUAUUAUUUGAAAGACUGAUAAAAAGUUAUUUGCACAAAGAGAAAAGGUAUGAAGAAAGAGAAAGGACUAGACAGAGUAAAGAGCAUUGCCUAGUUUGAGGGGUACAUAACUGUAUCCCCAUGAUUCCUGUAGCACAGAUGGCAAUUAAUUUUGUAUCUAUGAUUUUAGAGGAAGAACUCCUACGUCUAAAACAUACCGGUCUCCACAAACCCCAUCAACCAAAAGGUAUCUGUUUUCUAUCCUAAAAUAAAGAGUCAAUUUAUUGAAAAGAAAA